rnacentral:misc_RNA from 1 species
GCUUGUGCAUGCUAGAUUGAGCUUCUUGUAAAUCAUGGACCAGAAGUCAUGGUUAUGGCCGAAGAAGCGAUCUUCAGAGAAGACAAUUGUUUCAACCACCAAAUCUGAUCAUCCUGCUCAAGGAAAUGGAAUUGAGGAACAGACAGUUCCAAAUGAAACCGAAUAUCUGGAGCAAUCCUUGAAAAUCUUAGAUGAGAAGUUAGCAACCGCGCUCAGUGAGUCUAAUUCUAAAGACGAACAAUUGAUAAAGGCUGCAGAAAUGGAACAAGAAGCUAUUGCUGGUCAGAAGAAAGCCGAAGCUGAAGUACUUUGCCUUAAAAAAGAACUCUAUGAAGCGGUACACCAGAGAGAAGCUGCUAAUGAAAGGAUAAUGCACUUGAACACUGCCCUAAAAGAUCACAUGCAGCAAUUAGCUUCUCUCAGGGAAGAUGACGAGCAAAAAAUACGUGACGCUGAAAUGAGGACAUCAAAAGAAUUCGAGAAGGCACUCAAAAAGUUAGAGGAAAAAUUAGCAGAAACAAAUAAAAGGCAUGCUAAUUUGACUCUUGAGAAUUGUCAUCUGAAUAAGGUCCUUCUUGUGAAAGGGCAGAUCAUUGAAGAACUAACCAAGAGCGGUGUACAGGCAGAAGCAGAGUUUAAUGCACUAAUGUCGAGGUUGGAUUCUGUAGAGAAAGAAAAUUCUUUCUUGAGGUAUGAAUUUCAGAUGCUUGAGAGGGAGUUCCAUAUUCGGAAUGAAGAGGUGGAGUUCAGCCACCGCUCUUUGGAUGCCUCCCAUAAGCAGCAUCUUGAAAAUAUGAAGAAAAUUAGAAAAUUGGAAGGAGAUUGUCAAAGAUUACGUCUUCUAACUCGUAAGCGCCUUCCAGGUCAAGUUGCAUUGUCAAAGGUUAAGAAUGAAAUUGAAAUGCAAGAAAAAAAUCAGACUGUCAUAAGGAGGAAGAAGUCUGAUCCUCCAACUGGAAGUUCAAUUCCUAAGGACAGAGUCCCGGAAGGCCAUCCUGACAUUCUCCGUAAAGAGAUAAAUUGUUUGGUCGAAAGUAUGUGCAAUCUUGAGGGAGAGAACAGAGUUUUGAAAGAAUUGUUAGCAAGGAAAGAAGUUGAGAUUCGCCAGGGUGUGCAUCAUCUUGGAUUAGUUUCUUCUGUUAAGGGUUCCAAAGAGCUGGCCCUGGCUAGUCCACUAUCAUAUGAAACUUCCUCAAUAUCAAGUUAUGACACGAGCAAGAGAGACGAAAGUGUUUGCUCAAAAAUGAAUGGGGUUUCUGAGAUGUGUCUGAUGGAUGAUUUUGUUGAAAUGGAGAAACUUGCAAUAGUUGCUGUUGAUUCUACAGUAGGGAGUUCUUAUCCUGCCUCAGAUGCAAGUCUCACUUUAUCAGACUCCUCGAGAAUAGAAGCACAUGGAAAUCAGACGGACUCGAAUGGUAAGGAACUAGUUCCAGUGGGACCAGGUGAUUCAAAUGAGGCAAUGGCGAAGAGAUCCUCCAAUUGGCUUCAUAAUAUCUUGAAAAUAAUCAUGGAGCAAAGCCGCGUCUCAAAAAAAGGCGCCGAUGAGCUGAUAGAGGACAUUAGAGUAGCUUCAUACAAUGUAAUUCCUCCACAUACCUGUGCAGGUCAUUCAGAACUGCUUCCUAUCAGUGGUUACAUUACUUGGAAAUCUCCAGUGACAUCUCCUAAGAUGCAAAGUUCAACAACCGAACCGGAGAAGACGCAUCCUAUCCUCCAAGAAGAAAAUGAAGGACUGAAAGCUGAGAUGAAUAGUAUGAAGUCCUCAAACAAUGAUGUACAAGUCAAGCUACAGGUAGCGAGGAACAAGUGCGAAAACUUGACAAGUGAACUUCAGCAAUCACAACAAAUUAUUGAAGGCCUACAAGCCGAACUGAAAACAGCCAAGGAAUCCAAAAGAAGGAUGGAGGAUCUUAUCGAAAAUCAGAAAUCAAUCAAUGAUGAUCUUGACACCCAGCUUAGUGUGACUAGAGUUAAACUAAAUGAAACGCUUUCAAAGCUAUCUUCUCUUCAAAUUGAAUUGGAGGAUAGAAGUCACUGUUGUGAAGAGCUGGAAGGAACUUGUCUUGAGCUUCAACUCCAACUUGAAAGUAUAACUGGCAAAACAACUUCUGUGGAUGGUGUGGAUCAAGAAAAAGAUUUCCAGCAAACUGGCUGGGAGAUAACUGCUGCCUCGGCAAAGUUGGCUGAGUGUCAAGAGACUAUAAUGAACCUAGGGAAGCAAAUUAAGGCCCUAACUUUGCCGCCACAGGAAAAUACAGUUGGUGACACUAAUGCCAGCAGUAACAAAAUGAGGAAGCACAUGUCUUUACUCGAUCGGAUGCUCACUGAGGAUGACAUGGAAAAGGAUAACCUCAACUCUCCCAACUCAGAAGAACCUUUAAGAACCAUUGAUACAGUUCUCGCGACACAAAGCCCACAGCCUGAACCUAAUACUCCCAAUACGGGAGCUAUGGUAAUUUUGCCAAGCAAGAAGCCAGGGGUGAAUUUUCUGAGGAAACUUUUGCUCAGGAAGAAGUAUGGAAGAAGCAAGAAAAGAGCCUUUCCUUUAGCCAUUGAAGCUUUCUAGUCGUGCAAGAAAAUUGGGUUUUUACUUUUCAGCAUGCAGUUUUUGGUUUGAUCAACACAUUAUGCACAUAAAUAUAUGUAUCUUCUUGUAAGGUAUGCAUCUGCAGCCUGGAUAUUGACUACUUCAGUUACUUACCUUCAUGGACCUUUUUUGAGUGUGCUCUGUAUGUACUUGUGUAAUAAAAG